rnacentral:snoRNA from 1 species
UGCCCCACCAGUGAAAGGCACUGGACUAGAAAGAAGGUGACUGCAAAGACACUGUGACUCGCGGACCCUGUUCCUGUGUCCUGGGCUCAGGGAUAAAUUUGGUUACAGACACCA